AUGCCCACUCAGAUCACACCCUGACCAAACAAAACAUAAAACAUACAAUGCAAACUAUGGUCAGGGCGUGACAAAGGUGUAAAUGUACAUUCAAAGCAUUGGUUUUAAUCUUGCUAUCCACAUUUUGUAUAGUGAGUUGCUGCAUUGUCAU